UCCCCUGCCCAAGUGCCUUCGCAUGAGCCCUAUGGAGCGGCCCCUGCUUACGCGCUGGAGCCGCGCUUCCCCUCGCCCCUGGGCCAGAGCCCCACGGCGGGUGCUGCCUUCCAGCCCUUCCCCAGCCAGCCCCAGCCCCGCUCCGGGCCCCCCGACUUCCACCCCACGCCACCCGGCACCCCCCGGCACCAGCCCGGCACCCCCGACCCUUUCCUCAAGCCCCGGUGCCCCUCCUUGGACAACCUCUCGGUGCCGGGGAGCCCCGGGGCACGGCCCCCCGAGGCCCUGCUCUCUCCCUUGCCUUUCGGGGAGCAGAAGAAGGGGCUGGAGGUGAAGAAAGAGGAAGGGGGGGGCCUGGGCGUCUGCUCCCCUGGCUAUGCUCCCCCCAUAGGCUAUGGGGACUCCCCGGGAGGCCCCCACCUCUCUACUGCGGAGCUGAAGGGAGCUGAUGUCUUCAAAGCCCCCAUGACCCCCCGGGUGCCGCAGGUGGAGCCGCAGAGCCCGGGGCUGGGGCACCGGCCCCCAGACCCCCACCCACUGGCCCCUUCCCCCCCAUCAAACCCCGAGCUCUAUCGGCAGUCCCCCUACCUGGACCCCUAUGCGCAGCCCCCGCUGACGCCGCGGCUGCAGCCCCCGGACGCCUGCUGCGCGCUCCCCCCCGCUCCCUGCCCUCCGAGCCCUUCUCCCGUGUCCCUGCCAGCCCCCAGUCCCAGUCCAGCUCCCAGUCCCCACUCACCCCCCGGCCCCUCUCCAAUGAAGCCUUUUGCCAGUCCCCCGUCACCCCCCGCUUCCAGUCCCCAGACCCCUAUUCCCAGCCGCCCUCCCGACCGCAGUCCCGUGAUCCCUUCACCCCCUUGCACAAGCCCCCCCGGCCCCAGAUGCCAGAGCCGGGGUUCAAGGCGGUGGCGGCACCUGGGGGGGGAUUUGGGGGCACCCCUGCUGGGGACCCCCACACCAAGGCACCGGCCGGGCAGCAGCCGCCCUUUGCCCGCUCCCCCGGUGCCAGCGUCUUCACCGGGGGGCAGCCCCCCAUGCGCUUCACCUUCCCCCCGGCCGUGCCGGAGCCCCUCAAGGGCUCCCCGUCCCACCAGCCCCAUGGGAUCAACAGCCAUUACGUCCCCAGCAAGCCCCAGAGCUCGGCCUAUGCCUCGUCCCCCGGCUUCCACCAAGCUGGGAGCCCGCUGGGGCCGGGUGCCACAGGCACCGACACCUACAGCCUGUCCCCGCUCCGUCCGCCCUCGGUGCUACCACAGCAGCCCCCGGCCACCCCCCAGCAGCAGGACCCCUCUGUCCCCUUCCUGCCCCGAGCUGCACUGGGGCCAGUGGGCGACAAGAGGGAGGAGGCAGCCGUGGGGCUCUCGGCCCCCCCAAACAGGGACCUGGC
rnacentral:lncRNA from 14 species